ACAGGAGUGAAGCGAAGUUGGUAGUACCGAUCAGAGGAAGAGGAGCGCACAGAGAGAGGAGCAUCUGCACAUGACGUCCGCAAGCUUACUGUCCACUCCACAUCCAGACAGAAGAGACCUGAGCCUGCGCCACAUCUCUGCAACAACAGCCUCAGCAGCUGCAGAGGACGACAGUAGACAACUGUGGACGGGAUGGAGAGCAGCCGUAAGCCAGAGAACACGCCUCCUGGCCAGAUGAUGAGGAAACCUCUCAUCUUGGACCACCGACAGAGGCAGCACAGCCAGACAGACCCUUUCCUCACCGCAGCCCGCCUCCUCCGCGGUGGAUGGCUGGAGGAAGGCACGAGAAGAAAUUGGAAGUUUUCAGAUAUGGAGAAGUCAGCAGGUCAACCCCCUCACCCUGGGUCAGAAGAAAAGCAGAUUCCAAAUCGUGCUGAGAUUUGGGUCAAGGACCCCAGGACCAGGCGGGUCAUCAUCUCAAACAUCAGGGAGACGAGGGGGGACGAGAAAAAGACAUGUGAAGAGAAGCAGAAACCUGAUGGUGAUGAUGCUUUGUCAGUUAAAAGACCAACACAAGAGCAGGCUGGUCAGACAGGUGUGGUGUGCGUGUGGAGGUCUGGAUGUCGGCUCACAUGUAGACAACCCAGAAGGUUUAAGGCCCCGAUGCUUCCAGUGAUAGCUGAGAUGUAGACACAUCACCAACUCUGAAGACAUUUCUUUGUCAUUAAAUGUAUGAGUCGUCAUUAAACUGCAAAGUGC